UACGUAGGGGGCUAGCGUUGUCCGGAAUCAUUGGGCGUAAAGCGCGCGUAGGCGGCCAGAUAAGUCCGGUGUGAAAGUCACAGGCUCAACCUGUGAAUGCCGCUGGAAACUGUCUGGCUUGAGUCCGGAAGGGGCGAGUGGAAUUCCUGGUGUAGCGGUGAAAUGCGCAGAUAUCAGGAGGAACACCGGUGGCGAAGGCGGCAUCCUGGACCAACACUGACGCUGAGUGAGCGAAAGCCAGGGGAGCAAACGGG
rnacentral:rRNA from 1 species